AUUAAAGGGAAAUGUUUUUGAUAAUUAUUGUAUUGAUUAAAGUUAGAAACAAAAAACAUGGUAUUAUUACCUUUAACAACCUCUUGGAGAAACUUGAUAAAUUUUUGAGGAUCUACAAACAAGCAGUUGGGAAACCCUGGUAUGGUGGGCAGAAAAAAAAAGCUUAGACAUUGGAUUCUAACAGAACUACAAUCAAAUUUUGGCACUAUUAUUUUCUGGAUAUGUGAACUAAGUUGCCUAACUUCUCCGAGCUUCAGUUUUUUCAUCUCAAAAAUGGUUUGACAACUGUUGUAAGGGUGAGAGUUAAGGCAACUUGUCUAGAAGACCCUCAUGUUAGUCUACCCAGUAGACUUCUUCCUUGCUGGGAGUAAAACAACCUGAUUUUGUUUGGGAAUCUACCCCUCCCUAUGUGGAUUUAUUUCAGAAGUAAUUCUUAUUAGUCUAAAUGAACCAGAGUUGUCCCAUUCUCCUUGUCCAUGAUGGGUUUGGACAUGAGUAUGUGACUCAGUUCUUGACAAUGGGAUUUGAGAACCAAACUACUGACGUUGAGCUUCUGGGAAAUGCUUUUCUUUGUUGAUUAAAAGAGACAUGUGAGAAGUUGGCCUCUCUCAUUUCUUUGGAUAUUGUCCUGUCUGAACGUGAUACCUGGAACUGUGGCAGCCAUCUUGCAACCAUGUGGGCAGGGAGGCUGCCGGAGGAUGGCACAGCAGAGCACUGGGAAUAACCUGGAUCUCUGGUGAUAUCACAGACCCACUCAAUUCAGCCUGAAGAUACCUGAGCUUGGAACUUCUUACUUUGUGAGAUAGUAACAUUUCCUUAUUUAAGCCAUUUUCAUUUGAGUUUUCAAUUACAGGUAACCAAAAGCAUCCUAAAUGAUAAAGUAUUUAUUAGACCAGAAAACUGAAGCUCAAAUAGGUAAGUUAUUCUGUGUUAGUAAAAAAGGAAUUACUGGGGUUGAAUUUAAACUCAGGCCUGUCCGACUUCAGUGUUCUCUCCAUUAUACUAAUUCAAGCAUUUCCAUAUAGUGUGGCUUUGGGCAAAUUACAUCACUUCUCUGAACUUAGACUUCCUUAGCUGCAAAGAGGGGCCGGAACUAUUCCCUCACCAUAAUGUAUUAAAGAUGUAAAGAUAUACUGUUAUUAGAAAGCACAGCAUAAAAAUGCCUAGUAAGCUUCCUUUAGCAUAAAAAUGCUUAGUAAAAUUUCCUUCUUUCUUGCCUCUGUGCUUUUAUUCUUAGGAAUCUUCACUUACUCCUUAUUGUGGGAGGUAGUGAAUAGUUCUCUCAUUUUAAAACAGGCUAGCAUAUUUUAAGAAUUCAUCUUAUAAGAGCUAAGUUUCCAGUUUCUUGGAGCAACUUAGACCCUUGAUUGCCUCAGUAUUCAUCCAAGAACACAGCCUAUCAAUUCAAUGAGUUCUUUAGACUAUGGGGAUCACCCACAAUUAUAUCUACAUGCUGGAGCUUUUCCUUUAAUCUUUUUAGGGUUCCUCAGUUCAGCCCAAAUUACCCAUCUCUAGUUUUCAUGCCGUGAAUGACAAUCACAGCAGUGGAACAGCCCCUACCAGCAGCCUAGGCAUAACAGUUCCCAGAGCCAUGCUUUUUAAUCAUGGAGGGAGGAACAUCAGUUUUGAGGAUACUGGCUGAGUGACCUUGAACAGGUUGCCUAAGCAUUCUGAGCUUCACUUUUCUCAUCAGGAAAAAAUGGGGAUAAUAAGAAGUCCCUCGGAGAUUGAUGCAAGGAUUGAAUAAGGUAAAGUGAGAGCAUCCAGUGCAUAGAAAGUAAACAGAAUAGCAUCACCUUCAGUAAGUCCUGCCACUUAUGCACAGCUCAGCAUCCUGUUAUUAUCACCUCUGCAGGUGCAAUGUCAUCUACCAAAAUGUUCCUUUUUAUAAAAAAAUCCAUGAAGAAGGGUUUCAGCCUUUCAGUCAGAUGUCAUUUGUCUCUAAAGACUGAGCUGUAAUCAAAUUUCCAGACCUGUUGUGUCCUGUAGGGAACAUGAAUUGGUCACAGCUCAAUCAGAUUCUCCAUUCUUGCUGCCACCUCUCCAGCAUCUGUGAAUAUGAAUGAGAAGAAUGGUGGGACACUAAGAGGCCCAUGUGUGGGAUUUGAGUAACUUGAAAUCUGAGAAGUUAAUUAUAUUCCAUCUGAUACAGCCCUCUAAAUUAACUUGUACCUGCUGAGAUCUCUCAAUCCAUUUCAAACACCAAGAAAAAGGAUGAAAUAAACUGAAAUUUAUUCUGAGAUAAAAUGUGUUUUUAAUGAGAAGUUACAGAGAGAAUAGUCUAAAAGGAUCCUGGCUAGUUAGUGAGUCUAUGUUCCCCUUCCCCGCAAAAUCAUUGCUCCAGCUGGGCUAUAUUUAUGAAAUAGCCCCUCAACCCUUCCCUUUCUCAGAUGUCCUCACGAAAUUGGAAGAAUCAUAUACAAUGUGUGUGUGUGUGUGUGUGUGUGUGUGUGUGUAUGUAUGUGCUUACACAUGUCUGAAAUGAACAUUUCCAGUAGCCUCAGGAAACUCUUGUGCUUCUUCCUAAUUAAUGUCCCUCCUCAGAGGUAACCA
rnacentral:lncRNA from 1 species